GAUCAUGGCUCAGGAUGAACGCUAGCGGCAGGCUUAACACAUGCAAGUCGAGGGGCAUCGGGAGUAGCAAUACUUGCCGGCGACCGGCGCAAGGGUGCGUAACGCGUGAGCAACAUGCCCGUAUCAGGGGGAUAAUCCAUGGAAACGUGGUCUAAUACCCCAUAGUAAUUAUGUAAGGCAUCUUAUAUAAUUUAAAGCUUUGGUGGAUACGGAUUGGCUCGCGUGACAUUAGCUAGAUGGUAAGGUAACGGCUUACCAUGGCUACGAUGUCUAGGGGUUCUGAGAGGAAGGUCCCCCACACUGGAACUGAGACACGGUCCAGACUCCUACGGGAGGCAGCAGUGAGGAAUAUUGGACAAUGGAUGGAAAUCUGAUCCAGCCAUGCCGCGUGCAGGAAGACGGCCCUAUGGGUUGUAAACUGCUUUUGUAUGGGAGCAAUAAGGGCUACGCGUAGUCCGAUGAGAGUACCAUACGAAUAAGCACCGGCUAACUCCGUGCCAGCCGCGGC
rnacentral:rRNA from 1 species